GAUGAACGCUGGCGGCGUGCCUAACACAUGCAAGUCGAGCGAAGCAUUUUAAAGGAAGUUUUCGGACGGAAUUUGAAAUGACUGAGCGGCGGACGGGUGAGUAACGCGUGGGUAACCUGCCUCAUACAGGGGGAUAACAGUUAGAAAUGACUGCUAAUACCGCAUAAGCACACAGUACCGCAUGGUACGGUGUGAAAAACUCCGGUGGUAUGAGAUGGACCCGCGUCUGAUUAGCUGGUUGGCGGGGUAACGGCCCACCAAGGCGACGAUCAGUAGCCGACCUGAGAGGGUGACCGGCCACAUUGGGACUGAGACACGGCCCAAACUCCUACGGGAGGCAGCAGUGGGGAAUAUUGCACAAUGGGGGAAACCCUGAUGCAGCAACGCCGCGUGAGUGAAGAAGUAUUUCGGUAUGUAAAGCUCUAUCAGCAGGGAAGAAAGUGACGGUACCUGACUAAGAAGCCCCGGCUAACUACGUGCCAGCAGCCGCGGUAAUACGUAGGGGGCAAGCGUUAUCCGGAUUUACUGGGUGUAAAGGGAGCGUAGACGGCACAGCAAGUCUGAAGUGAAAUCCCCGGGCUCAACCCGGGAACUGCUUUGGAAACUGUUGGGCUGGAGUGCUGGAGAGGCAAGCGGAAUUCCUAGUGUAGCGGUGAAAUGCGUAGAUAUUAGGAGGAACACCAGUGGCGAAGGCGGCUUGCUGGACAGUAACUGACGUUGAGGCUCGAAAGCGUGGGGAGCAAACAGGAUUAGAUACCCUGGUAGUCCACGCCGUAAACGAUGCAUAAGAGGUGUCGGGGAGCAAAGCUUUCCGGUGCCGCCGCAAACGCAGUAAGU
rnacentral:rRNA from 1 species